CCCUCCAGUGAAUUGAAGGCUUCUUCAAACCCAAAUCCAGCAAAGGAAUUUUUCGACCAAGUAUACAUAUCGUUCUCUACCACAAUAGCUCGCUGAAAAUGGUGUUGUCGUAAUAUCCAAUAUCAUAGUGUGUAGAUGAUACUAUGUGAAUAGCCUUCAAGCUUCAUCAUCUCUUCAAGCUAGUUUGAAAGACUCUACAACUUGUUUCUUAUCAUCUGAAUUGGCUUUUUUUGUGAACUUAGAGGAGCCGCUAUCAAUUCAGUCAUGAUUCAAGAAGGGACAAGACAAAAGAAAAAAGUGAAAAUUUUGACAUUCGUUCAAGCUGGAACACUUACAUCUUUGGCAAAUCAGAAAAGGUUGAUGCGGACCAGAAAAACGAAUAUUCCAGCUAGCUCUAUACGGUUAAACGAAGAGCGUCAGGUUCUGAAUAAUUUAAUGGAAGAACAUCAGCUACUAAUGCCACAACAUCAGAGGGUAGGAGCCCAUUUACAAAGUGAUUCAACCACCCCUACAACACAAUCAGUAGAGCAAGAAGUGCAAUUGGAUGCUAAUGCUCCUACAGUAGAUGA